rnacentral:lncRNA from 1 species
AUGAGGGCGGAGGCACUCCAACUCAAGAUGAGAUCAUGGACAAGCCUGUGGUGGUCCCAUUGCUUUCUACCACAAAUCAGCCAUCGAUUGCAGAAACGGUUAACACUGCUCCUAUUGCAUACCAGAACAGCAGUCAGCAGAACCGCAACAAUCCCCAACAGCAAGCUUACAUGCAGCCAGGUGUGGCUCAGAACGGGCAGGUCUACCAAAUGUCAGAGCAUGGGGAUUACUGCACCUGCUGCACAAUACCAGCAGAUUUCUGCACAAACAGGAGGGCCAGUGCCUGGAAAAAGAGCCACAGGGAGUGCAUGUAGCACACACAUUGAAAGCUUUCAGGGGGUGAGUGAAAGGGGUUGGUAUGGUGACAUUUACCCAGAGGGGAACGCUCAGCAACCACGAGGCUACAAUGUGACAGCGCCUGGAGGUGCUGGAGAAAACAAGGCACCGGGACUUUAUCCAUACCAAACAGAGACAUUUCAGGAACCUCAAGAGUUAGCCUCCCAGCAGGGUGCCACCACAUCCCCUGGUUUCUUCAGAAGCACCCUCCCUCCUGUCCCAAAGCUCCCUCCCCCUCCUCCUGUCUUUGCCGCCCCUCCUUCCGCGACCAGCAGUAUGAUGAUGCCGGCAGUGCAGCAGCCGGUGCCUGGCGCUGGCACAGGGGAGGUGAUCGGGGGCAGAGUCGACAGUGUCAUCAGUGGGAUGGUGGUCCACGACCAUCAACACAAAUCCAUGUUUCAUCCUGAUGAUUCGCUGUUUGAUCUUGACCGACCUCGCCCUCCUCCCCCUGAGGAUUUUCACCCUCACCCAGACGGCCUGCUUUACCAGGAUGAGCUUCGUCAUCAUGAUGCCCUUUUCUUUCAAGACGACCCUUACCGCCACCCAGACGAUCCGUAUUACAGGCCAGGCAGCCCUCCGCACCACUACCCCAGAGUUCAAGAGCGCCUCACUCCCCCUUUCUCACCCUCAGAGGACCCCUACUAUGCCCAUGACUACCAGCGGCACAGCCCCCCUCCUCCGCACUACACUCCAAGGCGACCACCACCACCACGUAAUUUUGAAAUCCGUCAUCCUGGUCUACGGCCUCCACAUCGGCCUCCCCACCCAGCACACCACCCACACCCCAGAGGACCUCCACGUGCACCAUUUCCUCGGUUCCACGGCCCCGAUCCAAGGUUAAGAGGCAAACGUCCAGGUCCAAGAGGAGGUGGAAAUCCUGGGCCAAUGUUCCCCCCGAAAAGACCCUUUCCACCCCCACGGUACUGA